CGGCAGGCCUAACACAUGCAAGUCGAACGGUAACAGGAAACAGCUUGCUGUUUCGCUGACGAGUGGCGGACGGGUGAGUAAUGUCUGGGAAACUGCCUGAUGGAGGGGGAUAACUACUGGAAACGGUAGCUAAUACCGCAUAACGUCGCAAGACCAAAGAGGGGGACCCUCGGGCCUCUUGCCAUCGGAUGUGCCCAGAUGGGAUUAGCUUGUUGGUGGGGUAACGGCUCACCAAGGCGACGAUCCCUAGCUGGUCUGAGAGGAUGACCAGCCACACUGGAACUGAGACACGGUCCAGACUCCUACGGGAGGCAGCAGAAGGG
rnacentral:rRNA from 1 species